rnacentral:rRNA from 1 species
GACAGAGGUGGCAAGCGUUGUUCGGAAUUACUGGGCUUAAAGGGCGCGUAGGCGGUGGUGUAAGUCUGAGGUGGAAUCCCGGGGCUUAACUUCGGGACUGCCUUGGAAACUGCAUUGCUUGAGUCGAGCAGGGGAAGGCGGAAUUCCUGGUGUAGCGGUGAAAUGCGUAGAUAUCAGGAGGAAGGCCUGUGGUGAAGACGGCCUUCUGGGCUUUGACUGACGCUGAGGCGCGAAAGCGUGGGGAGCAAAC